rnacentral:rRNA from 1 species
AUACGGAGGGUGCGAGCGUUGUUCGGAAUUAUUGGGCGUAAAGAGCAUGUAGGCGGUCUGUUAAGUCUGGUGUGAAAGCCCGGGGCUCAACCCCGGAAGUGCAUUGGAUACUGGCAGACUUGAGUAUGGGAGAGGAAAGCGGAAUUCCGAGUGUAGGAGUGAAAUCCGUAGAUAUUCGGAGGAACACCAGUGGCGAAGGCGGCUUUCUGGACCAAUACUGACGCUGAGAUGCGAAAGCGUGGGGAGCGAACAGGAUUAGAUACCCGGGUAGUCC